GAAAAAAAAAAGGCUAAAAAAAAACCCAGUGAUUCUAUGUUUUCACAGUAAAAAGAAACCUAUUCCCACUGUCAUCAUAUUGUUCGGGAUAAGUAGGAGACGGUGAAACAUCGUGAUAAAGAUGUUGGUUGUAACGAAUCCAGUGACGACGAUGAUUUUGAAGCAGGCACAAGAAAAAGAAAACUGGGAAGAAAACUGAAGACCCAAUAACAAGUAAAGAUUGUGCUGAAGCAGGCAAAAACAAGAGCAACAAAACAGAUACAACAAAGCUUUUUAGAGCAAAUUUUGGCCAUUUGCAUGACCUCUUCCGUGACCUCGAAAAUAGGGGUAACUGCUAACCAAGGAACUGAUAGUAGCUCUUGAGGCGACACGGUUUCCUGACAUGCUUCGAGUGUUCAUUGAUAAUAAGAUUAGUAAAGAGGAGUUAUCUAAGAGUUACCAUGGUCUAGAAAUGCAAAUGUAUGGAUUCAGAAUCAGUUGGCCUCAUCUUAUUCAUAAUUCCAUGAUGGAAAGAAAGCAUUGAAUCCUGCAAGGGGGAUGUUAAACUUAUCACCAGAUGCAGUUUCUAUCUGUUGUAUUGGUUUGCGGAACGUUCCUCAUUGGUUAGAAAAAGGGGAGGCGCAGAAACAAUAGUCCCCAUAUUUGCAAGAUGGGAUUCUUGGAAUAUCUUGAAUGCGAUUUCGGUACUCAAAAAAUUCCCUUACAAACUGUCAGAGGUGUAACGUGUAACAAUUCAAAUUUUCACGAGACUAAAAUUUCACAUAAAAAUCAUGCCUUCAUUUUUUCCGAAUGUUGAAAUUUGGUCAUGAUUUUACAAUUCCGUUGGAUGAUGCCGAAAGGAAGUUGAUAAAUCCUACAGAGCAACAAUUAAGGUUGGAAACAGUGCAAGCGAGAGUAUGAAUAUGGAGAAGGAGAAUGUUGCUUUGAUUAUGAAAAGGAAGAUGGGAUUAACACACUUUGUAAAAUUCAAGUGAGGUUUCCUAGUGAAAAGAAUAGGUUGAUAGUGUUAGCCCAGGUCUUCCGCAAGACACUUUGCUAGCUACUGCAGUUGUUACAGAGUCCAAGUAAUCCAGUCAGGUCUUUGCUAUUUACUAGGAUCAUAACAAAUUUCUGUUUCACAAUGUACUCGCGUAUUACUAUAAAUAACAGUUCAAUCUCCACUA